GUUGUCGUGGUCGAGUGGUUAAGGCGAUAGACUAGCAAUCUUUUGGGAUCUGCCUGCGCAGGUUUGAUUCCUGCCGACAACG